rnacentral:rRNA from 1 species
AUGGUGCUAUGCUACUCUGCAAAUAAUGAAACUGGCAUAUCCAACACUCGCUUCUCCUCUUCUCUACUUACUCUGCCUAACAUCAGAAGCUCUGGCUGCAGCAACCAUGUCCGCUGGCUGCUCAUCCACCUACUCUUCAGCAGGCAACAACCAGAUAUGCGCCAAGUCGCCACCCGUACCAUCACCUGUGGGUCUCAUCACACCCCUGCCGGCACACGCACUGUAGUCGGUUGCUCAUCGCAACCUGCUACCGUUGGUGUGGUGCCACUGCUGCAAAUCAUGCAGAGUCAUCCAUCGCGUCUCAACCACAAUCCUCAACCCUGGCCGAGUCUUCUACAAAUGCACAAAUCAUGGGUAAUAAUAUGUUUAAGUGUUGUUUCAUUGUUUUCAGUUGCUGAUUUUUUUAAUAGUUUGAUUGAUGAUCUUCCAAAUUGA